rnacentral:rRNA from 1 species
AUUGAACGCUGGCGGCAUGCCUUACACAUGCAAGUCGAACGGUAACGGGCCUUCGGGUGCCGACGAGUGGCGAACGGGUGAGUAAUACAUCGGAACGUGCCCGAUCGUGGGGGAUAACGAGGCGAAAGCUUUGCUAAUACCGCAUACGAUCUACGGAUGAAAGCAGGGGACCGCAAGGCCUUGCGCGGACGGAGCGGCCGAUGGCAGAUUAGGUAGUUGGUGGGAUAAAAGCUUACCAAGCCGACGAGCUGUAGCUGGUCUGAGAGGAUGAUCAGCCACACUGGGACUGAGACACGGCCCAGACUCCUACGGGAGGCAGCAGUGGGGAAUUGUGGACAAUGGGCGCAAGCCUGAUCCAGCCAUGCCGCGUGCAGGAUGAAGGCCUUCGGGUUGUAAACUGCUUUUGUACGGAACGAAAAGCCUUCUUUUAAUACAGGAGGGUCAUGACGGUACCGUAAGAAUAAGCACCGGCUAACUACGUG